UACGGAGGGGGCAAGCGUUAUUCGGAAUUAUUGGGCGUAAAGGGCGCGUAGGCGGCUAGAUGUGUCAAAGGUGAAAUCCCUCGGCUCAACUGAGGAACUGCCUUUGAAACUGUCUGGCUUGAGGCCGGGAGAGGGUAGCGGAAUUCCCAGUGUAGCGGUGAAAUGCGUAGAUAUUGGGAGGAACACCAGUGGCGAAGGCGGGACUCUGGGCCGAUACUGACGCUGAGGAGCGAAAGCGUGGGGAGCAAACAGG
rnacentral:rRNA from 1 species